GACGAACGCUGGCGGCGUGCUUAACACAUGCAAGUCGAACGGAAAGGCCCCUUUGGGGGUACUCGAGUGGCGAACGGGUGAGUAACACGUGAGUAACCUGCCCUUGACUUCGGGAUAACUUCAGGAAACUGGGGCUAAUACCGGAUAGGAAUCCUUGCUGCAUGGUGGGGGUUGGAAAGCUUCGGCGGUUUUGGAUGGACUCGCGGCUUAUCAGCUUGUUGGUGGGGUAGUGGCUUACCAAGGCUUUGACGGGUAGCCGGCCUGAGAGGGCGACCGGCCACAUUGGGACUGAGAUACGGCCCAGACUCCUACGGGAGGCAGCAGUGGGGAAGAUUGAACAAUGGGCGGAAGCCUGAUGCAGCAACGCCGCGUGCGGGAUGACGGCCUUCGGGUUGUAAACCGCAUUCAGCAGGGGCGAAGCUUGUGGUGACGGUACCUGCAGAAGAAGCACCGGCUAACUACGUG
rnacentral:rRNA from 1 species